AACGAACGCUGGCGGCAUGCCUAACACAUGCGAGUCGAACGCCCCGCAAGGGGAGUGGCGAACGGGUGAGUAACGCGUGGGAACCUACCCAGCAGUUGGGGAUAACCGCGGGAAACUGCGGCUAAUACCGAAUACGUCCUAAGGGAGAAAGAUUUAUCGCUGUUGGAGGGGCCCGCGGCGGAUUAGCUAGUUGGUGAGGUAACGGCUCACCAAGGCGACGAUCCGUAGCUGGUCUGAGAGGAUGAUCAGCCACACUGGGACUUAGACACGGCCCAGACUCCUACGGGAGGCAGCAGUGGGGAAUAUUGGACAAUGGGGGCAACCCUGAUCCAGCAAUGCCACGUGAGUGAUGAAGGCCUUAGGGUUGUAAAGCUCUUUUACCGGGGACGAUGAUGACGGUACCCGGAGAAUAAGCCCCGGCUAACUUCGUGCCAGCCGCCGCCGUAACAC
rnacentral:rRNA from 1 species